GUAACGCGUAUGCAAUCUGCCUUUCACAGAGGGAUAGCCCAGAGAAAUUUGGAUUAAUACCUCAUAGUAUUAUAGAGCGGCAUCACUUUAUAAUUAAAGUCACAACGGUGAAAGAUGAGCAUGCGUCCCAUUAGCUAGUUGGUAAGGUAACGGCUUACCAAGGCGACGAUGGGUAGGGGUCCUGAGAGGGAGAUCCCCCACACUGGUACUGAGACACGGACCAGACUCCUACGGGAGGCAGCAGUGAGGAAUAUUGGUCAAUGGACGCAAGUCUGAACCAGCCAUGCCGCGUGCAGGAUGACGGUCCUAUGGAUUGUAAACUGCUUUUGUACGAGAAGAAACACUCCUAUGUAUACGAGCUUGACGGUAUCGUAAGAAUAAGGAUCGGCUAACUCCGUGCCAGCAGCCGCGGUAAUACGGAGGAUCCAAGCGUUAUCCGGAAUCAUUGGGUUUAAAGGGUCCGUAGGCGGUUUAGUAAGUCAGUGGUGAAAGCCCAUCGCUCAACGGUGGAACGGCCAUUGAUACUGCUGAACUUGAAUUACUGGGAAGUAACUAGAAUAUGUAGUGUAGCGGUGAAAUGCUUAGAUAUUACAUGGAAUACCAAUUGCGAAGGCAGGUUACUACCAGUUUAUUGACGCUGAUGGACGAAAGCGUGGGGAGCGAACAGGAUUAGAUACCCUGGUAGUCCACGCCGUAAACGAUGGAUACUAGCUGUUGGGCGCAAGUUCAGUGGCUAAGCGAAAGUGAUAAGUAUCCCACCUGGGGAGUACGAACGCAAGAUUGAAACUCAAAGGAAUUGACGGGGGCCCGCACAAGCGGUGGAGCAUGUGGUUUAAUUCGAUG
rnacentral:rRNA from 1 species